rnacentral:lncRNA from 1 species
GUUCAGAGACAAAUUGACAAUCUAACAGUUGCAAUUAAUUAAAAAAAAAAGAGUGAGAGAUUAAUUACUUUCGAAGCUAAAUUGGGAAUAAUGGAGAUCGAAGCUAGAUGAAUCGGUGAAGGAAAUAAUCGGCUGCUGGCCUUCCUACUAACACUGUCGUAAAGCCGUCGUAUUAAAUCAUCCACCGUCGUAUCUAGUGACAUCAAAACCUAUACAGCUCCAAGGCUCCUCUAAAUCAUCACAUUAAGAAAAAACUUUGUCAGUUUCAAGUUUCCCUAUGCCACACCACAUCCUUUUUUACGAACCAGUAAAUCUGACACGGUUUAGUUGAGGAAGAUAGAGAAUAUGGAGAGAGAAAGAUAGAUGUUGAGGGAGAUAG